AACGCGAAGAACCUUACCAGAUCUUGACAUCCAAUUGACCAUCUUUAAUCGUAGAUUUUGCCUUCGGGUACAAUUGAGACAGGUGGUGCAUGGUUGGUCGUCAGCUCGUGUCGUGAGAUGUUGGGUUAAGUCCCGCAACGAGCGCAACCCUUGUGUUUAGUUGCAAACAGGUCAAGCUGUGCACUCUAGACAGACUGCCGUGGACAACACGGAGGAAGGUGGGGAUGACGUCAAAUCAUCAUACCCCUUAUGAUCUGGGCUACACACGUGCUACAAUGGCCGGUACAACGGGCAGCGAAGGAGCGAUCCGGAGCGAAUCCUAAAAAGCCGGUCCCAGUUCGGAUUGCAGGCUGAAACUCGCCUACAUGAAGUUGGAGUUGCUAGUAAUCGCGAAUCAGAAUGUCGCGGUGAAUGCGUUCCCGGGUCUU
rnacentral:rRNA from 1 species